rnacentral:rRNA from 1 species
UUUUUUUGGAGAGUUUGAUCCUGGCUCAGGACGAACGCUGGCGGCGUGCCUAAUACAUGCAAGU